AAUUUGUCUGUCCUCUGGGGUGGAAUCUGUCAAGUCUCAAGAGAAGCCUGUGCCUGCCACACUGGUGCUGCUAGAGCUGACGUGUGCCAGGAAUUGAUGCGGAUCCUCUCGGUCCUCUCCCUCCCUGCUGCUGAUAGUGACCAGGCUGGUUGCAUGCCCUGCCUUUGUCGUUUGGGUGACAUGCUACUGUGGGCAGCUCUGCUACUCCUGGCUCCAGUUGCUGGGACACCUGCAGGUCUCCCAAAGUCUGUCCUGGACCUCGAGCCCCCGUGGAUCAACGUGCUCCAGGGCGACUCCGUGACUCUGAAGUGCCAGGGGGCCCACAGAGCUGAGGAGCACACCCAGUGGUACCAUAAUGGGAGCUUCCUCCCAAUCCUGGUCCAGUCCAACUACAGCUUUGAGGCCAAAAAACAGGACAGUGGGGAGUACAGAUGCCAGAUGUACCAGACCAGCGUCAGUGACCCUGUGCAUCUGGAUGUGACUUCCGACUGGCUGCUGCUCCAGACCCCUCGCCUGGUGUUCCAGAAGGGGGAGUCCAUCAGGCUGAGGUGCCACAGCUGGAAGAACAAGCUUCUGUACAAGAUCACAUUCUUCCAGAAUGGAAAAUCCAAGCAGUUUUCUUCUCUGAAUUCCACAUUCUUCAUCCCAGAAGCAAACCUCAGUCACAGUGGCCACUACCACUGCACAGGGAUGAUAGGGCAGAUGCUGCGCUUGUCACAGCCUGUGGCCAUCACUGUCCAAGGAUCCGACUCGAGUGACUCCUCGGUGGUGAUGACAAUUGUGUCUGCGGUCGCUGGCACGGCCGUCGCGGCCAUCCUUGCUGCUGUAGUGGCCUGGCUCCGCCUCAGGCGAAAGCAAACUUCAGCUCCCCUGGGAAGCCUCGAGCACAGGGAAAUGGGAGAGAGGCUCCCUGAGGCAGCAGCCAGGACCGGGGCUCAUGGCUUCCCAUCAGCGAGCUGGGAUCGUUGAGAAAUGCAUUGGAAGGAGAGUUCGGGAGGUGGUUUGUUCCAGAAUCUGGAGCAUGGCAAACAGAGACUCUCUGUGUCCAGGGGCCAAUGUCACUGAUACCGAAGAGGCUGCCAAAAUUGAGGCUGAGAACACCAUCACCUACUCGCUCCUCCAGCACCCGGAGGAGGAGACAGAGGCCCCGGAUUACCAGAACCAGAUUUAGUCUCCAUCGACUUGCCUGAGACCCGGGGAAGAGAAUCCGAGAGACGGGGAUGCAGGCCCGAGUUCCCCGUGGGAAAGACAAGAGGAUGCCACAGCUCCAGAGAAGGAGGGGGACCCUUCCAGGGUCAUCUGCGUGAAUCCUGAAGGCUCCCUGUCCUCAAAGUCACAGACUGUACUGGUUCCUUCUGUGUCUCAGCACCUCUCGCCAUCUAGACUCUUCUCCAUACAUCCACAAAGCAGAUACAAAUUACUUGGAUUAGGAGAUCGUAGCAACAUGGGAAAGGCUUAUGUUAUAGGUUACCUGAGAAAAAUUAUGUAGGUGUAUAUGAUUCAGGAAUGUUGAAACAGACUGACGUUUGCCAACAACUUAGAAGUGAUGGUUUCGGGGUGAUGAGAUUAUUGGUGAUUUUCAUCUUCUUUCUUUAUUUUUCUGUACAGAUCAUGUAUUACAUUUUAUAAUAAAAUACUAGAAAAACAGCA